AUUUAAAUAGCUUAUUUUUAAUUAAAGUGUAAUAUUGAAGAUAUUGAGAAGAAAAAAAACUUUUUUUUAAAUU
rnacentral:tRNA from 1 species